UUAACAUGAUAACAUCUCGUUCUAAGGAAGCAUAAAACUCACUGAAACCAUGACAAAGAAUUGGCGACGAAUACAAUCUUUGACAUAGAAUAUCCUAUUCUAUGUCAAAGUGUCUCAGUGAAGAACCUUCAUGAUUCAGAGCCCUAUUGAGCUGCCGGAUUUUAUGUAGCUGAAGCCCUGUGAAUCUUUGACUUGUGUAGCCUAUUCAUCCCCAUGUCAUUUGCACUUUGGACAUCAAAAAGAUUUAUCAUCUCGUCAGCAGCCGUUACCGGCGCCUGAAUAAUCGAUGUCCUAAAAGUCCCAGGAAGGUUUGUAGUCCGAACUGUAGCUAAGUAUUCAGGACAGACUAGUCAAGAUAUUCUGCAUUUUUCAAGUGGAGCAUCACAUAUACCUCCAAGAAAUAUGGAAGUUUCUGCAACAAACAUUCUUCAGCACCUGCUUCAAUUUUUUUUAAUCAAACUUUUUAUAAUUUGCUAAUGUAAUGGUUACAAAUGCUAGUGAAAACUUAGUCAAAUUCAGCUGUUAGUUAAGUAUGGACUCAUACCAGCUAGACAGCAGCUUGGUAUGUAUUAAGAUAUAGAGAAUGUACUUUAUUUUCUUAUCAAUUUAGAGUACCCUUCUGUUGAUAUGGUUAAUGAUAAGAGUUAUUUUGCCUCAGAUUGCUCUUACCAGCUUGAAAGCAGCCAUCAAAUAACUUGCUAUGUUUCAGGAACAAAUUUUAAUUCCUUGUCAAUUUAGUGUAUCAUAGCUAGAUCAGUGUGUUCCAGAGUGUAUAGUUCAUUAAGUAUCCUGCUAAAGUGAUAUCAGUCACCAGGUGGAGUUCUAAGCGAAAGGACGUAUAAUAAUUUAUUAGAAAGCUAUAUUGAUUUAAUAUCAGUCAGCAGUUAGCCCAAUUUCAAUGAUAAAAAUAACGUGUAGUCAGAGAUGGCCUUAAGAUGCGUUAACUACAUAAGCAGGUAAUAUUUUUGUCGUGGGAGCGAGUGAUGACUGAUAGUUUUUCUUAAUAUAUGUGUCUUACAAAUACUGUUGAAGUAGUUCCCGUUAUGGUAGGUUCUUUGGAGUUAAAGCCUUAAACUGUAGUUUGUUGCAGUCACUGAAUCAAAGUAACAAAGUUAAUUCAGGGCUAAUAUCUUUAAACUUCUAGCUCUUGAGUUAUUGUAACAUAUAUAAAGGCUUGAUUUAAUGCAGGAUGGAUGUUCACAGAGUAAAGUAUUUGAAUAUUUGCAUUCUAGGACAGAAUAUUUCAAAUUUUUUUAAAUUUUGGCCUAAAUUUUGGUAACAAAUGGACCACUUGCCAUAAUGUUUCAGUAGUUAAGUAUAAUCUUAUUUUGACGAAGUUUACCACAAAAAUAAUCCAGCUUUGUAAGCCUUGGAUACAAGGUUAAAAUUAGUCUUCUAAAUACUGGAAAGUUACCCAAUCAGAAGCAUUAUUAUUAUAGCAGCUCUAUAUUUCAAGACACUGCUAGCAUGUAAAAGUUCUAACUCUUAAUUAUUACAUUAUUAAGAUUAGUUUUCUUAUAUCAAUAAGAGUUGUAGGUUCUAUAUAUGAAUCAAUAAUUAAGCAUAAAUAAAAACGGCUGAAUUAAAGAGAGCUUGUUGUUGACGGUAAAAGUACAGUUUAUAAUUAAUUGAUAACCUAGCUCAGUUAAGAGAAGGGCUUAUUCUGCAUAGUGGAACUGACAGGUAUAAAUUCUUGAAUGAUUCAAUUCAUCUUGAGACUAACCAGUAUCUUUUUCGUAGAACUCAAUAUCGGCCAAGGCUUUACAUGUAAAAGGGAAAUUCAUUUCUUGGUGAGCUUUUUAUAUUACUUCAUUAGCCCCUGAUCAAAAUGUUUCAAUCGACAAAUAAGACAGGGGUAUCUCUUAGCUAAUAAGAUUCUCACGAUUGGGCUGAGUUUACAUGUAAGGUGUAAAUUUAAGUAAAAUUAAAAUUGGAGAAGUUGGAAGCAAAGAAGAAAAUUUUUAAGAGAAUUGGAAGGCAAUAAAUGGGAAAUAUUUAGCUGUCUGGGUUUUUGUUAUGGGCAAUCUUAACCUGAGGGUGAUUCAAUAUGUAGCCAAGUAAGCAAAUUGCUCUCAAAAAAUAUCCAGGAAUUAGUAAGUUUUCCUGCCAUAUAUUUGGAGAUAGGUUUCACAGGGAAAACCAGCGAAUGACUGAAUUCGCAAUUGUUAAACCGCGAUCGGGGGGUUGUGCGGGUGUGUGGCGGCUUCCACUGAAAAUAAUUUUGUGUAGCUAACAGAACUGAAAUUUUAACAGUAUAUAGCUGUCUGGACUUAGGAACAAAGACAUUGAAGGCAGUGCUGAUACAUACAAUUUAAUAAGGAAAUAUUUCAAAUGCUCACGGCUUUGUUGAAUUAAAUGACUGGAGGAAUUCACACUUAUUAAUCUGAUUUAUUGGUUAUGUAAAUUUUAGAACCCUCUGUGCAACAAAGUCUUCACAUAUGUAGAUUUUAUUUUAUUUCAUUUUAUUUUAAUUUUUUUAGGUUGAUAUGGUAAAAUAUCUCAUACCAUUUCCCUUGAAUUUCAGUAAUAUAAUCAAAUCAAUAUUCAAUUGAUCAUUGUAAAAAUUUGUACUUGAAAAUUUGAGUAAGGGAAGAUGUUUGUGAAAGCAAGUUGUUCAUUACUUUGUUCAAAUUGUUCAUAAUUUUGUUGUACGAGAAUUAAUAUAUUUCAGCUUUCUGUUUAGUUUUCACCAAG